AUGCCGGCAUGCCAGGAAGACAUCCUUAGCCCUCGUUCCUCCGGCUGCUCCUCCAUGGUGCGCGAGUACUUGAACCAAAAUGACCAAUCUGAUAUCGCCGAGGCGCCCCUCAUGAGCGACAGCGGCAGCAAUGGUGUCCCAAGUGUGGGCUUAAUGGAGGAUGAGCAAGGUUUCGUGCCGCUCAUGCCAGGGCAAUUACAAUGUAGCCAAUGCCAUGUUGUUAGGCAAAUCAGGUUCCAAUGUGAGAUUCCACUUGUUCACAUCUUUCUCCACAGUACCACACACACAAGCUUUGAGGAUGCUAUCCGUAAUCGCAAUGUGUCGGUGCGAGGAACCUUUGAGCAUGCUAUACUUGAUCGCCAUCACUUUGCUGUCAGCGGACAAGUCCCUAGAGCGGAACGGAUGUACAUCGAUUUCCAUAGGCGCACGGGUGAGUUUGUGCUCAACUUUCUUGCAAACAUUGUGGAUGCACUAAGGAUGGAAAAGGGGGGCACCCUGGAGGACACCUCUGAAACUGUCCAGAGAGCGCCGUCCAGAUCCAACGUCAACCCAAAUCCGGCACUUCGAAACGACACAUUGCAGCAAGUGGAAACUACAAUGCUGAACAUGAUCAUAAACUCCACUGCUGUAAAUGCAGAAGCAGCGCAGCCGGCACCACCGCCCCCUGCUGCUGAACCAGAGCUGGCCAUUGAGGCAACUACAAACACCGUGCAUGAAAUACUAACGCCUACUAAUAUUUUCAACUCAUCCGGUGUCGUUCCGGAAGAGCACCCCAUUAGUGAGGCUGCUAAGCUGCAGCAAGAGGGAACGGCAAGCUUGAGUGUGGAGGAGGAGGAGGAGGUGGAGAUGCGGCAGUACUUGCACGAGAUGAUGGUGAAGGCUCGGAGGGAAAUGGACAUGCCAUACGGCCCGGUACAGAAGUUUUGCCGUGGCAAUACCUACACCUGGAUGUGGCGCCGGAUUAGUACCCUCAACAGGAGGAUCAUAAACUUCGUGGAGAAAUCAUUGAAUGUUACACUAAAUGGACUGUUGAGAAUCAAGACGGAGGUCAAUGAAGCAGUCGUUGAGAAAGAACGGCUGCUUGCUGAAAUCGUCAGGGGUAUGAAGAAGCAGAGGGAGAGCAGGGACAAAAAUGACAGGGAAGCUGGCACUUCCGGUACCAAGAAGGCUGGUGGCGCUUCGAACUAA
rnacentral:rRNA from 1 species